AGUGGGAUAGCUGGGUCAAAUGAUGGUUCUAUUCCAAGUUUUCUGAGGAAUCUCCAUACUACUUUCUAAAGUGGUGGCACCAUUUUGCAAUCCCAAUAGUAAU
rnacentral:pre_miRNA from 1 species